rnacentral:rRNA from 1 species
GACGAACGCUGGCGGCGUGCCUAAUACAUGCAAGUCGUGCGGACCUUUUAAAAGCUUGCUUUUAAAAGGUUAGCGGCGGACGGGUGAGUAACACGUGGGCAACCUGCCUGUAAGACUGGGAUAACGCCGGGAAACCGGGGCUAAUACCAGAUCGUUUUUUCCUCCGCAUGGAGGAAAAAGGAAAGGCGGCUUCGGCUGCCACUUACAGAUGUGCCCGCGGCGCAUUAGCUAGUUGGCGGGGUAACGGCCCACCAAGGCAACGAUGCGUAGCCGACCUGAGAGGGUGAUCGGCCACAUUGGGACUGAGACACGGCCCAAACUCCUAAGGGAGGCAGCAGUAGGGAAGCUUCCGCAAUGGACGAAAGUCUGAAGGAGCAACGCCGCGUGAGUGAAGAAGGCCUUCGGGUCGUAAAACUCUGUUGCCGGGGAAGAACAAGUGCCGUUCGAACAGGGCGGCGCCUUGACGGUACCCGGACAGAAAGCCACGGCUAACUACGUG